CGCUGGCGGCAUGCCUUACACAUGCAAGUCGAACGGCAGCGCGGGGCAACCUGGCGGCGAGUGGCGAACGGGUGAGUAAUAUAUCGGAACGUACCCUGGAGUGGGGGAUAACGUAGCGAAAGUUACGCUAAUACCGCAUACGAUCUAAGGAUGAAAGUGGGGGAUCGCAAGACCUCAUGCUCCUGGAGCGGCCGAUAUCUGAUUAGCUAGUUGGUAGGGUAAAAGCCUACCAAGGCAUCGAUCAGUAGCUGGUCUGAGAGGACGACCAGCCACACUGGAACUGAGACACGGUCCAGACUCCUACGGGAGGCAGCAGUGGGGAAUUUUGGACAAUGGGCGCAAGCCUGAUCCAGCAAUGCCGCGUGAGUGAAGAAGGCCUUCGGGUUGUAAAGCUCUUUUGUCAGGGAAGAAACGGUGAGGGCUAAUAUCCCUUGCUAAUGACGGUACCUGAAGAAUAAGCACCGGCU
rnacentral:rRNA from 1 species